rnacentral:rRNA from 1 species
UACGUAGGGGGCAAGCGUUGUCCGGAUUUAUUGGGCGUACAGCGGGCGUAGGCGGCGCGGUAUGUCGUGCGUGAAAUCUCCCGGCUUAACUGGGAGGGGCCGUGCGAAACUGCCGGGCUUGAGGUCGGAAGGGGAAAGUGGAAUUCCGGGUGUAGUGGUGGAAUACGUAGAUAUCCGGAGGAACACCAGCGGCGAAGGCGGCUUUCUGGUCCGAUACUGACGCUGAGGUGCGAAAGCGUGGGGAGCGAUCCGG